GGGUUUAAAGGGUGCGCAGGCGGGCUUGUAAGUCAGAGGUGAAAGCCCGGAGCUUAACUCCGGAAAUGCCUUUGAUACUGCAAGUCUUGAAUCUGAUAGAGGCUCAUGGAAUAUGUGGUGUAGCGGUGAAAUGCGUAGAUAUCACAUAGAACACCAGUGGCGAAGGCGGUGAGCUGGGUCAGUAUUGACGCUCAUGCACGAAAGUGUGGGUAGCAAACAGGAUUAGAUACCCUGGUAGUCCACACCUUAAACGAUGUAUGCUUGAUGUUGGGGUAGCAAUACCUCAGUGUCGUAGGAAAUCCGAUAAGCAUACCACCUGGGAAGUACGAUCGCAAGGUUGAAACU
rnacentral:rRNA from 1 species